rnacentral:lncRNA from 1 species
CUUCAGUGGGAAAAAUAACCCCUCCUACCUUGUAGGGCAGGAGAGUUAAUUGAAAUAGGGCAGUGUAGGUACCAGGUGAACAUGAAGUGAAUAUUCUCUGUUCUAUGAUUGUGACUUCUUCAGUUCACAGGACGGAAACCCCGUGAGGACAGAGCUUUCUCCUUGGAACUGUGGUGGCUGUGCAGGAAGUGUCUAGGGGCUGGAGUGUGACCUUUGGGCUCUGUCCCCUGCUGGCCUCAUCUCCCUCCCUGAUGGUUUUCUCAGAAUCUGGCCCCUGGACCACGACUGCCUACGGGUCACCAACGAGUUGUUCUCAAGUCAUCCAGAUCUGCAGAAAGACACGCUGCCUGAUGCUGAUUUCGUCCUGUUCAAGGAUGGGAAAUGGGCUGUCAAGGUAUCUGAAGUUCAGCUAUCACCACUCUAGAGUAAAGCAGUUCUAUCCAGAAAAUUCCACAGACUUCAACUCCAGGAGACAAUGCACUCAAAGCCCUGCUCUUGUCACACUGGAAUCUGGUGAGUUCACACAUGGCUGA